UACCGGAAGGUGUGCUUGGAAACAAAAUGUAGCUUAAAUAAAGCAUCUCGCUUACACCGAGAAAAUGCCUGGGAAAAUCGGGCCAUUUUGA
rnacentral:tRNA from 1 species